UACGAAGGGUGCAAGCGUUAAUCGGAAUUACUGGGCGUAAAGCGUGCGUAGGCGGUUUGUUAAGUCUGCUGUGAAAUCCCCGGGCUCAACCUGGGGAAUGGCAGUGGAUACUGGCAAGCUAGAGUGUGUCAGAGGAUGGUGGAAUUCCCGGUGUAGCGGUGAAAUGCGUAGAGAUCGGGAGGAACAUCAGUGGCGAAGGCGGCCAUCUGGGACAACACUGACGCUGAGGCACGAAAGCGUGGGGAGCAA
rnacentral:rRNA from 1 species